CAAGGCUGUAAGUAUGGAAGCCCAGCAUCAAAGAGCCAUGCCCCCACCUAAGAAAGAAGUUGUUCUAAGGAAAAUGAAACCAGUAUACAGACAGCAGGAUGGAUCUGCAAGAAAUAAAUCUACCAGCUGGGUGCAGUUGAACAAAAUCAUUACAGGAUUAGCAGUUUUCUGACCCACUUACUAAAAAGAAGCUGAAUCACUGAAUAGAGACCCCAGGGAAAUGCAGAUUUAUACCUUUGAUGUAUUUCUUGAUUUUUCUUAAAUUAAAUUCUAUAAUCAGUU